AGACCAGCAAGUGAGCCUGACCCCAAAUCUCCAUUUAAAGGAAUGGCAGAGUACAUGGCCCACCAAGGAGAGCGUGGCCAGCGCGUCCGACCCUCCAGCCUACACCGGGGACAGGCCUUCUCUGCCGCCAGCCCUUCUUUACUCUCUGCCGCCAGUGGUCGCGCAGUGAGAGCUGCUCAGAGUGAGCCGGAACAACCUGGCCUGUUUGGCUCUCAUCCCAAGGUCGUUUUGUGUCACUGCUUGCGGAUGUGUAGUUCCUAAUCCUCUUCUGCCUUUUUAUACUGAUUUGCAUACAAACCACAGGAGAAAGUUCUUUGAGAAGCUGACCGGGCUUCUGCCAUGGGCUGGAGAUUCUAAAUUCACUAAAGGACUGGCGCGACCAUGCUGCGCCACCCUGAAGCCCGAAGGCGGUUUCUCAGGUCGAGUCCACACCCCACUGGCACUGUCAAAAGGCUGUUGGCCUUUACGAUGGUGUGUUGAGCUCCUUAGAGGGCCCAGAGAUGAGUGAGCCUGGCGACCGCAGGCCGCUGAAGAUGGCCAGCCAGUCUCUCCUGUCCGUGCUGUACUCCCACACCUGAGCCUUUCCUGAUGACUGUUCCUGAAUUUUAUUGACAUUUUACUGUAGAAAAUAUUUAAUUUUGUGCCAGAUUAAACUUUACUG
rnacentral:lncRNA from 1 species